UGGGGAAUAUUGGACAAUGGGCGCAAGCCUGAUCCAGCCAUGCCGCGUGAGUGAUGAAGGCCUUAGGGUUGUAAAGCUCUUUCGCCGGUGAAGAUAAUGACGGUAACCGGAGAAGAAGCCCCGGCUAACUUCGUGCCAGCAGCCGCGGUAAUACGAAGGGGGCUAGCGUUGCUCGGAAUCACUGGGCGUAAAGCGCACGUAGGCGGAUCGUUAAGUCAGGGGUGAAAUCCUGGAGCUCAACUCCAGAACUGCCCUUGAUACUGGCGAUCUCGAGUUCGAGAGAGGUUGGUGGAACUCCGAGUGUAGAGGUGAAAUUCGUAGAUAUUCGGAAGAACACCAGUGGCGAAGGCGGCCAACUGGCUCGACACU
rnacentral:rRNA from 1 species